UUAUAGUAUCUGCAAGAGCUUUAUCUGAGACAAAUGCAGCUACAUGAAGUCCCAACAGAUAUCUUGAGUUUGCAGCAACUACGGAUCCUAAACCUCAUCCAAAAUUCCAUGCAGUCGGUUCCAGUGUUCACAGUGCUCAUUGUAGGUUAUAUUCAACGUUGAUGGAGGAGAGGGUGGUUUUGAAAUGGAGGAAGAAUGAGGAUGUUCUGUGGUUUGGGUUGUCACUGUUUCUGCGUUUUCCUCUUGCUUCGUCAUUGAACGAUGAAGAAACUUGCAGGGGAAUAAACUAACUGGUCAAAUCCGGGAUGAGAUUGGUAACUGUGCUUCUCUUAUUUAUCUGAUGGCACCAUCUAGAAUUCAUGUUACUUGUGCACUAGUUUGUGACAAAACAUCAACAGGAAGGAUUCACAAAGGAGUGUGUUCAACAUGGAUGAAGUGAUGGUUGUAGUUGGGCACCCAUUUUUGUUCGGCAAUCAAACUUCAGACUUCCCGUUGAUACUAAAGUACCCAUUAUCAUGAUUGGUCCUGGAACUGGAUUUGCUCCUUUCAGGGAUUUCUUGCAGACUUCCAGGAAAGAUUAGCUCUUACAGAAGAUGGAGCAGAACUUGGACCCUCCGUAUUAUUCUUUGGAUGCAGAAAUAGUCAAGUUUCUCUAGAAAGAUCCAUAUGGUUGCGGUGGACAAGUAUUGGGCGCUUGCUGGUUUGUCUGCCUAAUUCUCAAAUGCUAAAUUGAUUUACUGAUAUUAUUGUAGGACUACAAUUACGAAGAUGAGCUGAACAACUUCGUAGAAAAAGGUGCACUUUCUGAGCUUGUGGUUGCAUUCUCCUGCCAAGGACCCACCAAGGAAUAUGUGCAACAUAAAAUGAUGCAGAAGGAAGCUGUCAAGGGACAAUUAUGGAGAUUACGUGAUCCCCAAGGGAAGCCAUCAGGUGUAAUACAGUAGUACAGCUAGCUAGAUCCUAUAUUUAACUUGUGUCUAGUAGAAAUUCUUUCUUCAUUAAGCAUUUGGACUUGUCUGCAGAUUUAGAUUAGUAGAUAUGGGCCAUUUUGAAUUGAUGCUCAUGAUUAGGUUUGUGUACAUGAGACAAUGGUGGAUUAGUGGAAAUUGCAAUGAGUGAUUUUG